CGAGAAUGUGAAAGCCCCGGGCUCAACCUGGGAAACGGCACUUCGAACUGCAUGGCUAGAGUGUGGUAGAGGGUAGUGGAAUUUCCUGUGUAGCGGUGAAAUGCGUAGAUAUAGGAAGGAACACCAGUGGCGAAGGCGGCUACCUGGACCAACACUGACACUGAGGUGCGAGAGCGUGGGGAGCAAACAGGACUAGAUACCCUGGUAGUCACGCCGUAAACGAUGUCAACUAGCCGUUGGGGAUCUUGAAUCCUUAGUGGCGCAGCUAACGCACUAAGUUGAUCGCCUGGGGAGUACGGCCGCAAGGUUAAAACUCAAAUGAAUUGACGGGGGCCCGCACAAGCGGUGGAGCAUGUGGUUUAAUUCGACGCAACGCGAAGAACCUUACCUGGCCUUGACAUGCAGAGAACUUUCCAGAGAUGGAUCGGUGCCUUCGGGAACUCUGACACAGGUGCUGCAUGGCCGUCGUCAGCUCGUGUCGUGAGAUGUUGGGUUAAGUCCCGUAACGAGCGCAACCCCUAUCCCUAGUUGCUAGCAGGUAAUGCUGAGAACUCUAGGGAGACUGCCGGUGACAAACCGGAGGAAGGUGGGGAUGACGUCAGGUCAUCAUGGCCCUUACGGCCAGGGCUACACACGUGCUACAAUGGCGCGCACAGAGGGCUGCAAACCCGCGAGGGGGAGCCAAUCUCACAAAACGCGUCGUAGUCCGGAUCGGAGUCUGCAACUCGACUCCGUGAAGUCGGAAUCGCUAGUAAUCGUGAAUCAGAAUGUCACGGUGAAUACGUUCCCGGGCCUUGUACACACCGCCCGUCACACCAUGGGAGUAGAUUGCACCAGAAGUAGUUAGUCUAACCUUCGGGAGGACGAUUACCACUUUGUGGUUCAUGACUGGGGUGAAGUCGUAACAAGGUA
rnacentral:rRNA from 1 species